rfam:Oryzias latipes DNA, chromosome2, strain: Hd-rR.
GCAACGGCUCUUUUGAGAGCCACCCACAGAACCUUUAAGAGCUUG